rnacentral:rRNA from 1 species
GACGAACGCUGGCGGCGUGCCUAAUACAUGCAAGUCGAACGAACUCUGGUAUUGAUUGGUGCUUGCAUCAUGAUUUACAUUUGAGUGAGUGGCGAACUGGUGAGUAACACGUGGGAAACCUGCCCAGAAGCGGGGGAUAACACCUGGAAACAGAUGCUAAUACCGCAUAACAACUUGGACCGCAUGGUCCGAGUUUGAAAGAUGGCUUCGGCUAUACUACGUUUG